CUGCUGCUCAGCCAUUGCUGUGCCUGGCUGCUGCCGCUCCCCUCAGCAUCCAUCAUCUGAGGUGAUCACCUCACUCUACCUAAUGGCAGGACCGGCCCUGUAGGUGCAGAAAAUCGUCAGAAGUAAGCUUUCUGCCUCCCACCUACAGAUAGCUCUCAGCUGGUGUUAGUUUACACAGAUUGCAACUCUUAACUUUCCAUAUCUGUAACUCAUGGUCAACUUUCAGCCGAGACACACCGAGUUUCUUCGUAGGACUGUGGAUGGAAUCCCAGCAACAGAGAAGGAGUUUCUUCCUCUGGAAACAGAAUUUCCCCCUUUGCUGCCAGAAACUGCUCCAGGGAAAGGAAUCAGCACAGAGGUCAGGGGUCAGCUUCUUCACCUCACACUCUUCA